CCCAGCCGAAACCCACCUUCUCCCCUGCAAAAAAAAAUCAGAGACCCACUCUCACACACUAACCCCUUAUUAUUAUCCAAUCCCCUUUCCCUUCUUUAUUUUUUCUGUUGUUUUCCCAGCCUUCCUUCCAUUUCGGCAGAGGAGAGAGAGAGAGAAGGCAACCGAACACACCUCCGGCCACCACUACCUCCUACCAUAACCACCGAGCACCCCCACCACCGGUAAUCACCUUGACUGCUGGCCACCGGAGAACCACCUCCUUCCUCCAUUACAACCAUCAUCACCUCCUCCUCCCUCCAUCACCAACCGGAGCCACCACCGCCACCACCCGAAGCUGACCUCACCACUGUAGCUCCAUUCCCCAAACCUCCUGCAUUACCGCCGGACACCAUCACCUCUUGCCGUGCUCACCAUCACCAUCCGACCGAGCUCCGCCGCUGUUCCGACCCGCCACCGAAUCACUCUGAAACCCGUUUUCGCCUGACACGAGGUUGCUCGAGCUCAUUGCUCAAGAUUUUGGAUAAAAACGUAAUUUGAAAGAACUGUGAGAUCGAAAUACGGAAUUACUCAAAGUUGGAGUGUCAACUAAUUAAUACGCGAAGUUUGAAGGGCCUUUAUGUGAUUAGUUCAUUAAAACCCUAUUAAAACAAAUGGAGACCAACGGACUUGGGGAGCUUCGGUGGUUCUCGGCCGUGAAGAAUUGGGACGACGGCAGCGGCAGAAAUAGAUUCAAUGGAAGGGAGAAUUAAACCAUCAUCCAAGUCUCGCUUCCCAAUGGCUGGCUAAACCCUCUUCUCGGGUGUAGAUGAAGCUCGAAUUCUGAGUAACAAUUUUUAUGUUUUGAUUUAGGUUUUAUUAUUCGGAUCGUGGUUGUAUGAACAAUGAUUUAUUUAUAAGAUUAAUUCUUUCCAUC